CUACGGGCGGCUGCAGUGAGGAAUUUUGCGCAAUGGGGGAAACCCUGACGCAGCAACGCCGCGUGAGUGAAGAAGGCCUUUGGGUCGUAAAGCUCUGUCAACAGGGAAGAAAUUAAUGACAUUUAAUAGAUGUUGUUAUUGACGGUACCUGUGGAGGAAGCGCCGGCUAACUCCGUGCCAGCAGCCGCGGUAACACGGGGGGCGCAAGCGUUAUUCGGAAUUAUUGGGCGUAAAGGGCGCGCAGGCGGUCUUGUCCGUCAGGUGUGAAAGCUCGGGGCUCAACCCCGGAAGUGCACUUGAAACAGCAAGACUUGAAUACGGGAGAGGAAAGCGGAAUUCCUGGUGUAGAGGUGAAAUUCGUAGAUAUCAGGAGGAACACCGAUGGCGAAGGCAGCUUUCUGGACCGAUAUUGACGCUGAGGCGCGAAGGCGUGGGGAGCGAACGGGAUUAGAUACCCCCGUAGUC
rnacentral:rRNA from 1 species